GUGAACAUAGUUUAACUAAAAUCUUAGGUUGUGGUCCUAAAAAUGAGAACUAAUCCCCCUCUGUUCACC
rnacentral:tRNA from 1 species